rnacentral:rRNA from 1 species
GAAGAACACUGGCGGCGUGCCUAAUACAUGCGAGUCGAGCGAAGUUUUUCUGGUGCUUGCACUAGAAAAACUUAGCGGCGAACGGGUGAGUAACACGUAAAGAACCUGCCUCAUAGACUGGGACAACUAUUGGAAACGAUAGCUAAUACCGGAUAACAGUAUUUCUCGCAUGAGAGAUAUUUAAAAGUUGGUUAUGCUAACACUAUGAGAUGGCUUUGCGGUGCAUUAGCUAGUUGGUGGGGUAAAGGCCCACCAAGGCGACGAUGCGUAGCCGACCUGAGAGGGUGAUCGGCCACACUGGGACUGAGACACGGCCCAGACUCCUACGGGAGGCAGCAGUAGGGAAUCUUCCGCAAUGGGCGAAAGCCUGACGGAGCAACGCCGCGUGAGUGAAGAAGGAUUUCGGUUCGUAAAGCUCUGUUGUUAGGGAAGAAUGGAUAUGUAGUAACUAUACAUCUAAGAGACGGUACCUAACCAGAAAGCCACGGCUAACUACGUG